rnacentral:misc_RNA from 1 species
GAUGAAGAACGCAGCGAAAUGCGAUAAGUAAUGUGAAUUGCAGAAUUCAGUGAAUCAUCGAAUCUUUGAACGCACCUUGCGCCCUUUGGCUAUUCCGAAGGGCAUGCCUGUUUGAGUAUCGUGAACACCUCAACUCUCAUGGUUUGCCAUGAUGAGCUUGGACUUUGGGGGUUUUGCUGGCCUUUGGUCGGCUCCUCUCAAACGGAUCAGCUUUCCAGUGUUUGGUGGCGUCACGGGUGUGAUAACAAUCUACGCCUGUGGUUUUCUGCCAGAUAACCUUCAGCGAUGGAGGUUCGCUGGGGCUCAUAAAUGUCUCUCUUCAGUGGAGACAGCUUUUUGGACGUUUGAUCUCAAAUCAGGUAGGACUACCCGCUGAACUUAAGCAUAUCAAUAAGCGGAGGA